GGCCAGGCCCCUCGGGCGGCCGGGGAGCGCCGGGAGGGCCGCUCCGGGGUUACCUGGUCAGAGGCGGCGCUGGGUUGGGCAGCGGCCGAGCGGAGAGCGGGGUCACAGCGCCCACCCGGUGCUGAAACCCAGCGGCUUCUGCUCCCAGCCGCCCGGCCCCGCGGGCGGGCUCCCCGACUCCAGAGCCUGCUCGUUCCGCCUGCUCAUCCACCCUGCGGCGGGAGAGCCGAGAACAGCAGUGAGAGCGCUCUCCCAGCUCCCGAAAUAAAGGUACUUUGCGAGGAGAUAGGCUCCUGUUCCCCUCUUAAAUGGCGAUCUGCUCGGCAGCGGGUGCCAGUGAGGACGGUGAGCCCUGACAGUUCCUGAGCUGAGGUGCAAGUGAACAGUGUUCCACGUCGUCUAGAAGUGAGCACGCAGCUGCGGUGCACAAGGUGUUUGACCAGUCUGCUCUCUCUGUACCUACUGAAGACUCCAGCACAGUCACAAGAGAAAAAGAGAAAGUCUAAUCUCAUCCAAAGGAAAAUUAUAAAAUGGUCUCCUGUGUACAA